GACGAACCGUGCGAACGUUGUUCGGAUUCACUGGGCUUAAAGGGCGCGUAGGCGGGCGUGUGCGUCAGGGGUGAAAGCCCCCGGCCCAACCGGGGAAGGGCCUCUGAUACCACACGCCUCGAGGGAGGCAGGGGCAGCGGGAACUUCCGGUGGAGCGGUGAAAUGCGUAGAUAUCGGAAGGAACGCCGGUGGCGAAAUCGCGCUGCUGGGCCUCCUCUGACGCUGAGGCGCGAAAGCCAGGGGAGCGAACGGG
rnacentral:rRNA from 1 species